UACAGAGGUCCCAAGCGUUGUUCGGAAUCACUGGGCUUAAAGCGUGUGUAGGCGGAUCGUUAAGUGUUUUGUGAAAUCCCACGGCUCACCCGUGGAACUGCUGGGCAUACUGGCGAUCUUGGGCCAACUAGGGGCAACUGGAACAAGCGGUGGAGCGGUGAAAUGCGUAGAUAUCGCUUGGAACGCCAAAGGUGAAAACAGGUUGCUGGGUGUGCCGACGGCUGAGACACGAAGCCAGGGAGCAAACGG
rnacentral:rRNA from 1 species